UAGGCUCUGAACCGAGAACGUGUACUCGUUCCUCCAUCUUCAGGCUACCAAACCCAACAAUCGAAAGGCCAAAGCCUUCUCUAUAUUUUCCUGACCAAAGGCCGCAAUAUCCUUCGGAGGCCAACGUCGAAUUCCCGACUUAGCCACCGGCCAACUUACGGCUUUCGUUUCUCACUAUCCUUACGACGAAAAAGGAUUGAGAAAACACCGUUGUGUAGCCUGAUCUACCUCGCACGAGGAAGACUAAGUCGUAGACCUUCGCGGCUAAACACCAUCGCGGAACGACGACCAGAAAACCCCCGACGAACAACUUCCAUUAGUGCUCACUUGGACAAGGGUUCAAAUAAACAAAAGCGUCUGAGUAACCUAUCGCGCUAAGGAAAGAGAAUCAUUGUCUUAAGUAGCAAAACACUGCAAUCAGGUUGAGCUGAUGUGAUGAUGGUGCUGCAAUGAGCGGAGUCUCCAGGGUUGUUAAUAAAUAGUUAACCUGUCUAGAAUAUGUCUUCAUACAUAUGUCUAGCUACUUUCCGCUGCAAGAUGUUGUUGAUGUUAUAGUAUGUUAUGUCAUACUUUGAGUCUUAAGAGAAUGGUUUCAUAUGAUGUAUAACUUGAUUAAUGAUAUUAAUUAAGUUUUAUGCUGUCUUUCAUAGACUAUUUUCAA